UCACCUCUCCGACAACCACCAUAUUUGAUUUGAUUCUUUUCUCCUCCCUCUUCGUUUUCCUUUUUUGCAGGUGUAUUUGAGAUGGUGAUUAUCGACUUGUUCAGACCAAGAUAAAGGGUUACACUUACAGCCAGGCAUCCACUUCUUUUAUCAAAGUCAAGCGUCAAUUAAUUUUUUUAUUAAGACAAAGCAUCUUUCUUUUAUUAAACCAAGGAUGUGAUGCCAGGUCCGUUUCAUUUUAUUAAAGCCAACCAGGUCCAUUUCUCUUUGUCCAUUUCUUUUUUAUUAAAGCCAACCAUGUGAUGCUCCAGAUCCAUUUCUUUUAUUAAAGCCAUAGGCAAUGAGUCAUCCUGGACAUGAGGUUGAUUGAGGGGAUAUGAUUGAGGUGGUUAGGUGAGUCAUCCUGGACUGAGUCGCAUUCACGAUGAAAAUAAUGGAUAGCCAUCGGCGUGGCUUUCGAGGUCAAGUAGCCUCUUGAUUCAGCUUGCGAGAGGGACGAUAAGUACCGCCUUUCUAGUCAACCUCACAAGUUGUCAGUACAACCGCGAGUGAAUGAGGGUGAUCGAUUCGAAUGAUAGGUCGAAUGAGAGCUGGCCUCGACUCGUCCUGGCUCUGGAAGGUCGAUUGCCUAGGUGACCCAAGUCGUCUCCGGCUGGGUUGAGCUGACAUGAUUGAUGCUAAGAUCCGACACGUGUCGGCUUCAUGAGGAUGAUCGAUACUUCAGGUUAAUUGAUGUUAUAACGGAUUCUAUUCUUUUUUUUUUUUUGUAUGGUUCUUAUCAAAUCUUUACAUCAGCCUCAUCAAAUCUUUAGUAGUUUAAACAUAAUCCCUCAAAUCAUUGAGUUUGCUAUUA